AGAAAGAAGAAACCUGACCAACAGCAGGCUGAGGUUAUCUGAGUCCCGUGGAGCAGAGGAAUGCCUUCUUUUGGGGAGGCUCUUUGCACAUCCACACAUGCGGUGAUCAGAGAAGGAAAUAUGAGGGGAAGCAAAAUGCUGCUGCUCUGCUUUCUGGGGUGGAUGGUUCAGAGCCUUCUCCAAAAAGGCAACGGAGCGCAGGCUGGACCCAGGAGGAGGGGAGAGGAGGAGGAAGCAAAACUCGAAGGGAAAUUAAAAUCACGGGCAAAUGAGGCCGUCCUGCUCACAAUGAGAUUAGCAGGAUUCCUGAGGAAACAGCCACUGUGGGGUGAGGUGGAUGGAUGGAGCUGCUCCUAUGGGACACAGCAGGGAGGAAAGCCAGAGCUGUGAUGGGAUGGGGA